AACAUCUUCUUACCAAAAAGUGCAAAGUUAAGGAGAUACGUUCUGCGCAUGCGCAGCCGUAUCUCCUUAAAUACGCAUAAUUUGUUAAAAGGAUAUUAAGCAAAGUUGUAGCCCUCAUCAAGACGAACAACUUUCGUUAACAUCUUCUUGCCAAAAAGUGCAAAGGUAAGGAGAUACGUUCUGCGCAUGCGCAGCCCUAUCUCCUUAAAUACGCAUAAUUUGUUGAAAGGAUAUU
rnacentral:miRNA from 1 species